rnacentral:rRNA from 1 species
GGCUUAGAAGCAGCCAUCCUUGAAAGAGUGCGUAAUAGCUCACUGGUCAAGUGGUGAUGCGCCGACAAUGUAGCGGGGCUUAAGCACACCGCCGAAGCCGCGGCGCCCUCCCUUUUGUUGGGGGGGUGGGUAGGGGAGCGUCCUGCGCGGGGGGAAGCCGUCGUGUGAGCGUCGGUGGACUGCGUGGGAGUGAGAAUGCAGGCAUGAGUAGCGAGUGGCGGGUGAGAAUCCCGUCCGCCGAUUGACUGAGGGUUCCAGGGCCAGGUUGUUCCGCCCUGGGUUAGUCGGGUCCUAAGGCGAGGCCGUCAGGCGUAGUCGAUGGGCAACGGGUUGACAUUCCCGUACCGGACGGCGGCCGUCCGAUGCCGGCUGGGCGGGGCGUGCUCGUCCCUGCGCGUCUUUUUUUCCGUGCCUUUCGGGGUGCGGGGGGCGUGUGGGCGCGGUGCGUUCUGUUUGGUGUGGCAAGCGUGGUAACAGGCGUGACGCAGUGAGGUAGCCCGUCCGUGUCUUAUGGCUUGGCACGGCCAAGGGUGUGGCCCGCCGCCGAGGCAAAUCCCGGCGGUGUGUGGGUGAGGCCUGAUGGGGACCGUUGAUGGGAAGCGGGUGAUCCUGUGCUGCCGAGAAAAGCGUCGACGCGAGGCCGUUGUCCGCCCGUACCCGAAACCGACACAGGUGGUCAGGUAGAGUAUACCGAGGCGUUCGAGUGACUCGUGGUCAAGGAACUCGGCAAAAUGCCCCCGUAACUUCGGGAGAAGGGGGGCCCUGCGCGUGGUCCGCCCGUGCGGCGGGGAGCGUGUCGGGGCCGCAGAGUCCAGGGAGAAGCGACUGUUUAUCAAAAACACAGGUCCGUGCCAAGCCGCAAGGCGAUGUAUACGGACUGACGCCUGCCCGGUGCUGGAAGGUUAAGCGGACUGGUCAGCCCCCGUGUGGGGGUGACGCCGGGAAGUUAAGCCCCAGUAAACGGCGGUGGUAACUAUAACCAUCCUAAGGUAGCGAAAUUCCUUGUCGGGUAAGUUCCGACCUGCACGAAUGGCGUAACGACUUCUCCGCUGUCUCGACCACGAACUCGGUGAAAUUGCAGUACGAGUAAAGAUGCUCGUUUCGCGCAGCAGGACGGAAAGACCCCGGGACCUUUACUGCAGCUUGGUAUGGGUGUUCGGCGCGGUUUGUGCAGGAUAGGUGGGAGACGGUGAUCCGGUCGCGUCAGCGGGCGGGGAGUCGCUGGUGAGAUACCACUCUGGCCGUGUUGGGCUCCUAACCUCGGCCCGUGAUCCGGGUCAGGGACAGUGCCUGGUGGGUAGUUUAACUGGGGCGGUUGCCUCCUAAAGGGUAACGGAGGCGCUCAAAGGUCUCCUCAGCCUGGUUGGUCAUCAGGUGGCGAGUGCAAGUGCACAAGGGGGCUUGACUGUGAGACUGACAGGUCGAGCAGGCACGAAAGUGGGAACUAGUGAUCCGGCGGUCGCGUGUGGAAGCGCCGUCGCUCAACGGAUAAAAGGUACCCCGGGGAUAACAGGCUGAUCCUGCCCAAGA